GGGAUAUGAUGAGUGGUCAUUUCUCGCAAAUAGAGAUGCGAGAUGGGUGUCCGCCCCAAUGCCAGUUACGACAACACGGGCACUCCCAUUUGUAACCAUCUGAUCCC